CGUAAACAACUGGAACUGUCUGUAUCUUGUUUAGAAAGGCACUGUAUGCUGCAACAAGAACAAGGGAGAUGUCAGUAAAGAGACAAAUUCCUUCGUUGGAGGAAGGCCUUAGUCUUACUUCAAAUAACUUCAUGUUUUUGAAAUGAAGGAUAUAAGGACUCCUUACCUAAAAAGAUGAAAGCUGUUGAUGCCAGCACUACAAAGAGGGUAAAAAGGAUCUGGUAAGAACCCAUGAACUGGAGGACACCUGAAUCUUCACAUUGAUCUAUGCAUUGGCCAGAACAGAAGAAGAGAAUAGUUAUGUAAUAACAAACACAUCCAGGCCAGAUGUUGCAUUUAAAACCUUGUGUGGUCAUAAGACUAUCUAGCAGAAGCACUCGAAACCCAGCCCUUUAGGACAUCAAUUUUUAAAACAUGUAAUACCUGGUUGUUCAGUCAGCUGCACUGACCUCUUUCCCCUUAGAUUGUUAAAUUGAAAAAUGACAGCCGCCCUGGCCUGUGUGGCUCAGUUGUUUGGAGCCUUGUCCUGUAUACAGAAAGGUUGCAGGUUCAGUGUGUUUGGGGCACAUGUGGAAGGCAACCAAUUGAUCUCUCCCACAUCAAUGUUUCUCCCUACCCUUCUCAAAUCAAUACCCAUAUCCUUGGGGGUGAGGAUUUAAAACAGUGAUGGCGAACCUUUUAAGCUCAGUGUGUCAGCAUUUUGAAAAACCCUAACUUAAUUCUGGUGCCGUGUCACAUAUAGAAAUUUUUUGAUAUUUGCAACCAUAGUAAAACAAAGACUUAUAUUUUUCAUAUUUGAUAUAUUUAAAUGCCAUUUAACAAAGGAAAAUCAACCAAAAAAAUGAGAACACAUGUCAUAGGUUCGCCAUCACUGAUUUAAAAGAACUAACACAAUAGCUGUCCAGUGUGAAUACAUCAAAGCUAAACUUGUUUUUGGUAAGAUUAGCGAAAAUAUUUUUUUGGUGUGCCCAGAAUUUUAGAAAUUACUUGGUGCCAUGAGGUGAGAAAGGUUGGCUCCAUCUUACUGGCUUUUUCCUAUCUCCAAAGUAAUAAACUCCAACUCUUGAACCUCUUAUUUAUUAUUCUCAGCUUACAGAAAUAUUUAUUUAUUAUUUUAACAUAUUUUAUUGAUUUUCCACAGAGGAAGGGAGAGAGAGAGUCAGAAACAUCGAUGAGAGAGAAACCGACCAGCCGCCUCCUGCACACCCCCCACCGGGGAUAUGCCCGCAACUCAGGCACAUGCCCUUGACCGGAAUCGAACCCGGGACCUCUCAGUCCGCAGGCCGAUGCUCUAUUCACUGAGCCAAACCGGUUUUGGCAGCUUAGAGGAAUAUUUAAAACUUCUGCCACUUAAAAAUGGCUUUUACCUUCCCUGUGCAUUUUAACUAAAUUUGUUGCAAUCUAUGGUAAUUCGAUUUAUAUAAAAUUUUUAAUUGACUUGAGAGAGAGAGAGGGAGGGAGGAACAUCAAUUUGUUCCACUUAUUUAAGCAUUCAUUGGUUGAUUCUUAUAUGUUCCCUGACGGGAUCAAAACUGCAACCUUGACACAUCAGGGAUGCUCUAACCAACUGAGCUAUCUGGCCAGGGUGUGAUGUGAUUUGAUUUCUCAUUCUAAUCCCUGUGACGUGAAACAUUUCUUUGGAUCCCCAAUGACUUCGUAAAUCCAAGGGCCUCACCCAUUUUUACUCAGGAUGUCAUUUCUAGGGAAUAUUCUGAUUUGUAUAUCAUGUCCUUAAUAAAACUUUCGACUCCUGUCUUUGAAUCAUA